rnacentral:rRNA from 1 species
UACGUAGGGGGCAAGCGUUAUCCGGAUUUACUGGGUGUAAAGAGAGCGCAGACGGCAGUGCAAGUCUGAUGUGAAAGCCCGGGGCUCAACCCCGGAACUGCAUUGGAAACUGUACAGCUUGAGUGUCGGAGAGGUAAGCGGAAUUCCUAGUGUAGCGGUGAAAUGCGUAGAUAUUAGGAGGAACACCGGUGGCGAAGGCGGCUUACUGGACGAUGACUGACGUUGAGGCUCGAAAGCGUGGGGAGCAAACAGGAUUAGAUACCCUGGUA